rnacentral:rRNA from 1 species
UUUCGGGCGGGGAUUAGUGGCGAACGGGUGAGUAACACGUGGGCAAUCUGCCCUGCACUCUGGGACAAGCCCUGGAAACGGGGUCUAAUACCGGAUACGACACUCUCGGGCAUCCGAUGAGUGUGGAAAGCUCCGGCGGUGCAGGAUGAGCCCGCGGCCUAUCAGCUUGUUGGUGAGGUAACGGCUCACCAAGGCGACGACGGGUAGCCGGCCUGAGAGGGCGACCGGCCACACUGGGACUGAGACACGGCCCAAACUCCUACGGGAGGCAGCAGUGGGGAAUAUUGCACAAUGGGCGAAAGCCUGAUGCAGCGACGCCGCGUGAGGGAUGACGGCCUUCGGGUUGUAAACCUCUUUCAGCAGGGAAGAAGCGAAAGUGACGGUACCUGCAGAAGAAGCGCCGGCUAACUACGUGCCAGCAGCCGCGGUAAUACGUAGGGCGCAAGCGUUGUCCGGAAUUAUUGGGCGUAAAGAGCUCGUAGGCGGCUUGUCACGUCGGUUGUGAAAGCCCGGGGCUUAACCCCGGGUCUGCAGUCGAUACGGGCAGGCUAGAGUUCGGUAGGGGAGAUCGGAAUUCCUGGUGUAGCGGUGAAAUGCGCAGAUAUCAGGAGGAACACCGGUGGCGAAGGCGGAUCUCUGGGCCGAUACUGACGCUGAGGAGCGAAAGCGUGGGGAGCGAACAGGAUUAGAUACCCUGGUAGUCCACGCCGUAAACGGUGGGCACUAGGUGUGGGCAACAUUCCACGUUGUCCGUGCCGCAGCUAACGCAUUA